CCCGGGAAACUGGGGAUAAUACUCGAUAGGUGAGGAUGUCUGGAAUGACUUCUCUCCUAAAGGACCUAGAUACAUGCUUCUAUGUCGCCUGGGGAUGGGGCCGCGCCCGAUCAGGUUGUUGGUGAGGUAACGGCUCACCAAGCCUAUAACCGGUACGGGCCGUGAGAGCGGUAGCCCGGAGAUGGGUACUGAGACAAGGACCCAGGCCCUACGGGGCGCAGCAGUCGCGAAAACUCCGCAAUGCACGAAAGUGUGACGGGGCUACCCCGAGUGCCAUCCGCUGAGGAUGGCUUUUCUUUGGUAUAGCUAGCCAUUGGAAUAAGGAGAGGGCAAGACUGGUGUCAGCCGCCGCGGUAAUACCAGCUCUCCGAGUGGUAGGGAUGAUUAUUGGGCUUAAAGCGUCCGUAGCCGGCUUAGCAAGUUUCCUGUUAAACUCAGCGACUCAAUCGUUGGAUCGCGGGAAAUGCUACUAGGCUAGGAGGCGGGAGAGGUCAACGGUACUUCUGGGGUAGGGGUGAAAUCCUAUAAUCCCGGGAGGACCACCAGUGGCGAAGGCUGUUGACUAGAACGCGCUCGACGGUGAGGGACGAAAGCUGGGGUAGCAAACCGGAUUAGAUACCCGGGUAGUCCCAGCUGUAAACGAUGCGAGCUAGGUGUUGGGAUGGCUACGUGCCAUUUCAGUGCCGCAGGGAAGCCAUUAAGCUCGCCGCCUGGGGAGUACGGCCGCAAGGCUGAAACUUAAAGGAAUUGG
rnacentral:rRNA from 1 species